GCAAUUCGGCAUGGUCUGAUGUUGAUUUUCUUGUUUUUAUUGUUGUGAUUAUUUGUUAGUUAAUUAAAAUAUUAUUUUGUUGUUGUAUUGUUUUGAUUUAAUUUUUUUACUAUAGGUUAUUUGUACUGUAAGGGGUUGAGGUAGUUAAAUGUUUUUUUAAAAGCUGAUUUUGUUUGUCGUACCUUGUGUAUCAGGGUUUAUUGAAUUCUAUUAUUUAUUUUUGUUUCCCGAUUUUAAAGGAGUUAAUGACUUAUGUUAGUUGCUGUUUCAUUAGUAUUAAUAAUAAGUAGUUGGUAGUGAAAUGUUAUUCGUCUUUAGUGGUUUCUGGUUUUUCAAGAAAUGAAUUUAAUUCAUACGUCUUAUUUAAUUUCUGUUGUUGGUUAUUUAGUUUUAUUUGAUGUUAAGAUUAAGGGGGAUUAGCUCCUUAUUCUAGUUUUAUAAUUGGUUAUGAUUUAAUUAGUUUUGUGGAUUUUAUGGUGAUUUUCUAUUUGAUUAUGUUAAAAUUUUAUUUGUUCUUUUUUUUAUUUUUUGUUAUUUAAGUUAUUUAUUGAAAUGUUUUCUUUACCUUUGGUUUGUGUAGUAAUUAUUGUGUAAUUAGUAAAUUUGUUGGUUGUUAUAUUUAAAGUAGUAAGAGUAGUGUUAAGUAUUUUUGAGGAAUUAGGCAAAAUUUGUGUCCGCCUGUUUAACAAAAACAUCUUUUCUUGUUAGUUUUUGAAGUAUGGCCUGCCCACUGACAUAUUGUUGAAGGGCCGCGGUAUUUUGACCGUGCAAAGGUAGCAUAAUCAUUAGUUCUUUAAUUGUGAUCUGGUAUGAAUGGCUUGACGAGACAUGAGCUGUCUUAGGGGUAUUUAUUUUAAUUGAAUUUGGUUUUUGAGUUAAAAUUCUUAAAUGUUUUUAUGGGACGAGAAGACCCUAUAGAGUUUGACAUCUCCUUCUUACUAGUUUUUGUUUGUAUUUGUGUUUAUUGAGUGGGAGAGAUGUUUUGUUGGGGUGAUGGGAGGAAUGUAUUUAACUCCUCUUUAUUUUUAUAUAUUUAUUUAUAUUUUUUUGAUCCAUUUAUUUUGAUUAUAAGAUUAAAUUACCUUAGGGAUAACAGCGUUAUCUUCCUUGAGAGUUCUUAUUGGCGGGGAGGUUUGCGACCUCGAUGUUGGAUUAAGGUGAAUUUUCGGUGCAGGAGCUGAAAGUGAUUAGGUCUGUUCGACCUUUAAAAUCUUACAUGAUCUGAGUUCAGACCGGCGUGAGCCAGGUUGGUUUCUAUCUAUAGAAUUGUUUUAUAUCUUAGUACGAGAGGACCGGAUAUUUGGAAUAAUUUCAGUUGUUAUAUUGGUUUUUAUUAAUGUGGUACUAUUUUGGCAGAUAAGUGCAU
rnacentral:rRNA from 1 species